UUUCUUGUAUGAGAAUUAACGAUUUAAGUCCUUCUUAAAUGAGGCCAUUUACCCAAAGAGGGUGCCAGGCCCGUAUAACGUUAAUGAUUACUAGAUGACAUUUCCAAAGAGUCGUGUUGCUUGAUAGUGCAGCACUAAGUGGGUGGUAAACUCCAUCUAAAACUAAAUAUCACCAUGAGACCGAUAGUAAACAAGUACCGUGAGGGAAAGUUGAAAAGAACUCUGAAUAGAGAGUUAAAUAGUACGUGAAACUGCUUAGAGGUUAAGCCCGAUGAACCUGAAUAUCCAAUAUAGAAAAUUCAUCAUCAUGAUUUUUUAAUAUUAAUAAYAUUAUAAAUAAUGGUGUGCAUUUUUUCUAUUGCGGACAUUGUAAUCUAUUAAUAUGAAUGCAAUUUAUCAUAAGAUCAUUUGCGAGAGUUUAUUCAAAUUAUUUUGCUUGCAAUUUAACAUAGAAUAAAUGUAUUUGAUUAGAUAAAGUGUUGAUAGAUUUAUUGAAUAUAGUGCUUAAAUACACAUAUUUUAUAAUAGCAUAAUAAUUAAUUAAUUUUUAUGUUUAUUAUAUGCACUUAUAUGAUUAACAAUGCGAAAGAUUCAGGAUACCUUCGGGACCCGUCUUGAAACACGGACCAAGGAGUCUAACAUAUUUGCAAGUUAUUGGGAAUAAAAACCUAAUAGCGAAAUUAACAUAACUUUAUAUAAUGGGAUUAGUUAUUAGCCUAUUUAUAGUCUAUUGAUUCAAUCCCGGGGCGUUCUAUACAGUUAUGUAUAAUAAUAUU
rnacentral:rRNA from 1 species